rnacentral:ncRNA from 2 species
CAUCUUUGGGAGGCCCGUGGCACGGGCAGGAAAUAGAUGGGGAAUCCGGUGAGCUGGCCGGUGGGGUUUUCUCUAGAUUGAGGGAGCUUUGCUGAGCUGGGUAUUCCGGAGCGGUGCCGCCACUGUGAGCUUGCUGAGAUGCAGGUGAGUCAGACUACCAGCCUAGGGAUUUACACAUGA